rnacentral:lncRNA from 1 species
CUAGUUACUAAAGCCAAAACGGACCCAGCUAAAACUCUGGGGACAUCCCUGUGUCCUCGGAUGGAAGAUGUUCCCUUGUUAGAGCCACUGAUCUGUAAAAAGAUAGCUCAUGAGAGACUGACGGUAUUGGUUUUUCUUGAAGACUGUCUAGUCACUGCUUGUCAGGAGGGAUUUAUUUGCACAUGGGCAAGGCCUGGUAAAGUGUCGGCAGAGCAGUUCUGCAGGCAGGAGGACAGAGUGCAAGGUGUUCUCCAAGACCAGAACUAAAGAGCCCUCCUGCCGUGGACCACCAGGAACGCGAGCUCCUGAUGUUGCAAUAACCAAUGAAGCUUGAAUAUCAGUACUGUUACUCAUUUCCUGACAACUGUGUUUGUUUCAUUGCUCUGUCUUUUAGCUGUUCCCCUGUCCCUGUCACAGCAGAAGACUUACCAUACACUUGACUUCUGAAGCACUGGAGGCUGUCCUCUGUAUAUUGACAUUGAAUAAACGUGUGAAUGCACUGU